CUGUUUAGCAAAUCAGUCUUAUUUCAUAAAUCCAUCAAAGCCCUCCACCCUUCGUGGGCUUUCCAUAGUGCCAGUGCAGGUUUAUGAUGAAUUUGCCUUCUCUGAUGCCCUGAAAAGAGACUAUGAGGGAGGAGUAAAGUUUCGUUUGUACACAUGCAUACCCAAUAGUCCCAAGAUGCUUAUUGAAAAGGCAGCCAUUUCCCCAUAGAUUUGAAAGGCUACCACUGUCAUAUAUUACUUGUCUCAUUCAGAUAGCUAUGGAUUUCUCAUCAGUAAGUAUGGAGGCUAGAAGACAAUGAAACAUAUUCUUGAAAGUGCUGACAGGAAAAAAUAUCAACCCAGAAUUCUGUAUCUCUUGAAAAUAUCCUCCACAGAUGAAGGUGAAAUAAAUAUUUUCAGACAAAAGAAAACUAAGGUUUUUUUGUCAGAAGCAGACAUGCGCUGAAAUAAAUGCUAUAGGACAUUCUUCAGGCUGAGGAAAAAAGGACACCAGAAGAUUACGAAGAUCUUCAGGAGCCAAUGAAGAACAUCAGAAAUUUUGAAAAUCUGAGGAGAAAAUCAAAUUAUCGGACCUUGGAGAUCAAACCCUCUCAGGCUGCUAAGAAAAAGAAACAGAAAAUGAAAGACUGUUUUCUCUACUUUACCUACAACCAUAAACACAUUUGAUUCUGAAAUGUGAAUAUGAACAAAGCGAAGUUUCUGUCUUCUAAGAAAAUUACUAGUAGGAUCUACUUCUCAAGAAUACAAGAUGCACAUAUUAUCAUUAGAAUUUUUUUGUCAAGAACAAGGGAAAUUUAUGAGUAUUCAUUAUCCAAUGGUGAGUGAAGAAACAGUGACACAAAACUCCACCUACAGUAUAACCAGGAUAUAAUUGAAGAAAAUAAAUAAUGAUGUGUUGAUCUAUGGAUGAAUGUUUGUGUGUUUCUAGCACCUUGUGAGCAAACAGAGGAGUUUAUUGAUGAGCAGUAGGCUAUAUUUAUUUAGUUAAAUAAUAUCAGCUACCAUGGAUGGUCGUACAUCUUGUUUACAACAGUUGAAGACAUACACCCAUUAAGGCUGCCAUAGUAGUUCCUUUGGGAUAAAUUGAUUUGAGAUGAAGUGUUUCCAUAUGUCUUUCAGAGAUUUGUGUAUUCUGCAGGAUUCUUCACAAUGUUUGUAUUAUAUUGUAAUUCAAGAGCAAAUACAGAAUAAAUAUGUGCAGAAAAAA